UACGAAGGGGGCUAGCGUUGCUCGGAAUCACUGGGCGUAAAGGGUGCGUAGGCGGAUGUUUAAGUCCGGGGUGAAAGACGGUCGCUCAACGAUCGCAGUGCCUUGGAUACUGGAUAUCUGGAGUACAGAUGAGGCUGAUGGAAUGGGUGGUGUAGCGGUGAAAUGCAUAGAUACCAUCCAGAACACCGAUUGCGAAGGCAGUCAGCUAAACUGCCACUGACGCUGAGGCACGAAAGUGUGGGGAUCAAACAGG
rnacentral:rRNA from 1 species